rnacentral:rRNA from 1 species
CCUACGGGUGGCAGCAGUAGGGAAUAUUGCUCAAUGGGCGAAACCCUGAAGCAGCAACGCCGCGUGGAGGAUGACGGUUUUCGGAUUGUAAACUCCUUUUUUUAGAGAAGAUAGUGACGGUAUCUAACGAAUAAGCACCGGCUAACUCCGGGCCAGCAGCCGCGGUAAGACGGAGGGUGCAAGCGUUACUCGGAAUCACUGGGCGGAAAGAGCGCGUAGGCGGGAUAGCAAGUCAGAUGUGAGAUCCUAUGGCUUAACCAUAGAACUGCAGUUGAAACUGUUAUUCUAGAGUAUGGGAGAGGUAGGUGGAAUUCUUGGUGUAGGGGUAAAAUCCGUAGAGAUCAAGAGGAAUACUGAUUGCGAAGGCGACCUGCUAGAACAUAACUGACGCUGAUGCGCGAAAGCGUGGGGAGCAAACAGGAUUAGAUACCCGUGUAGUC